CGCAUCCCAGGAAGAAGGAGUUGGAGCUCCGUGAUGCCAUUCAAAAACAGAUGAGAUGGGGACAGAUUUAACCCAAAGGACAUAGUUCAACUCCUGGUCUUGACAGAGGAGAAGCCCUCAAAGAUGGAGUCUCACUCUGUUGCCAGGCUAGAAUACAAUGGCACGAACUUGGCUCACUGCAACCUCCGCCUCCUGGGUUCAAGAGAUUCUCCUGCCUCAGCGUCCUGAGUUGCUGGGACUACGGGCACACACCAUCAUGCCCAGCUAAUUUUUGUAUUUUUAGUAGAGACAGGGUUUCACCAUGUUGACCAGGAUGGUCUCGAUCUCUUGACCUCGUGAUCUGCCCACGUCGGCCUCCCAAAGUCCUGGGAUUACAGGCAUGAGCCAGUGCGCCUAGCAAACGACAGCUUUUUGAGCCUCUGUUUAACAAUCUCUUAAACCUUAUAGGUAGGCAGUUCUGAGACAGCUCCUAAUCAUCUCCCCUCCUGGUAUUCAAGCCCUGAUGGAAUACUCUCUUCUUCAAUGUGAGCUGGACUUAGUGGUUUUCUUCUAAUCCAUUGAAUACACACAAGUGAUGAGCUGUCAUUUCCAAAAUUAGUUCACACAAAGCUGUAACUUUUGUUUUGUUCACAGCCUCUCUCAAUUGCCUUCUCAGCUUGUAUGCUUUGAAGAAGCAAGCUGCAGUGUUGGAGAGGCCCAUGUGGCAAGGAAAUGAGGGUGGCCUCCAGUCAAUGGCUGGUGAGAAACUGAGACCUUCCUUCCAACAAUUGUCAAGUAACUGAAUACUCCCAACAAUCAUAUGGGUUAGGUUAGAAGUGAACCUUUCUCUAGUUGAGGUUUCAGAUAAGACCACAGAUAUUAUACUAACACCUUGAUUGCAGGCUUAUGAGAAACCUUGAAAUGAGAAGACUAAGUAAAACCAUAUCUGGAUUCCUGACUUGCAGAAACUGUGUGAUGAUAAAUGUGUGUUAUCUUAAGCCACAAAGUUUUUGGGGUGAUUUGUUCUACAGCAAUUGAUAAUGAAUACUUCAACCUAUAGUGACAACUGGAUGUCUAUUUACUCAUUUUCCCCACCAAAGUGUAAAGUUCCUACAAGGCAGAGGUUACAACAUAUUCAUCCUGCUACCUCUCACAGCCCAUAAUAUACAACCUGACCCAUAAAACAUGAUUAAUCAAUGUUUGUUAAAUUAACAUGUAUUUUGAGUUUCAUUGAAAUCAGUUAGUUGAAGUGAUAAUAACAUUUAAAUGUGCAUGAGCAGUAGGACAAGGCAGAUAGCUGGUUAGGAUAGAAAGUUUUUGAAAAUUGUGAGGGGAAAAAUUAUUUCUAUUUGUACCCUGUUGUACCCAGCUUAGGUUUCAAAAACUUUCAGGGGGUUUUUAUUCAUUUACCAAAGACUUCAAAGUUGGUGCCUCCCCACCACUCUAAAGAGGUCUUUGCCCUUAUUGACCCAACCAUACUGAUUUGCCUGGUGCACAGUGGGAGCUAUUAUAAGGAGAGGGGAGAAGAAGGAAAUAGAAACAACUGUGAAAAAGGUUGAAAAAAAUAGCGAAAAGGAUAGAAAAAGAGCAGAGGAAAGAGAAGAAGUAGUCAACAUCCAACCCAGAUGCAGAGAAAUGAUUCAAAAGAAAAAGUCUGAUUUUCCUGUCGGAAAUAUUUUUAAAAGGAGGUAGGCAUUUAUCAAAAAGGAAAAAAAAAAAAAAAGAAUAACAGAGUUUGUCUUCCAAAGGACCCAAUACUCUUGGAAUUCAAUGACCUAAUUCUGUGUAUGGUUGCAGUGUGGAGAUUGCCUCUUGUCUGAU
rnacentral:lncRNA from 10 species